rnacentral:rRNA from 1 species
UACGUAGGGUCCGAGCGUUGUCCGGAAUUACUGGGCGUAAAGAGCUCGUAGGUGGUUUGUCGCGUUGUCCGUGAAAACUCACAGCUCAACUGUGGGCGUGCGGGCGAUACGGGCAGACUGGAGUACUGCAGGGGAGACUGGAAUUCCUGGUGUAGCGGUGGAAUGCGCAGAUAUCAGGAGGAACACCAGUGGCGAAGGCGACUACCUGGCCUGUUCUUGACGCUGAGGCGCGAAAGCUAGGGGAGCAAACGGG